GACGAACGCUGGCGGCGUGCUUAACACAUGCAAGUCGAACGGAAAGGCCCUGCUUGUGUGGGGUGCUCGAGUGGCGAACGGGUGAGUAACACGUGAGUAACCUGCCCUUGACUUUGGGAUAACUUCAGGAAACUGGGGCUAAUACCGGAUAGGAGCUCCUGCUGCAUGGUGGGGGUUGGAAAGUUUCGGCGGAUGGGGAUGGACUCGCGGCUUAUCAGCUUGUUGGUGGGGUAGUGGCUUACCAAGGGUUUGACGGGUAGCCGGCCUGAGAGGGUGACCGGCCACAUUGGGACUGAGAUACGGCCCAGACUCCUACGGGAGGCAGCAGUGGGGAAUAUUGCACAAUGGGCGGAAGCCUGAUGCAGCAACGCCGCGUGCGGGAUGACGGCCUUCGGGUUGUAAACCGCUUUCGCCUGUGACGAAGCGUGAGUGACGGUAAUGGGUAAAGAAGCACCGGCUAACUACGUG
rnacentral:rRNA from 1 species